rfam:Triticum aestivum genome assembly, contig: Triticum_aestivum_CS42_TGACv1_scaffold_501832_6BL
AAGGUUGAUGAAGAAGAUGUUGUUUCUCACAUCCUCGCUGGACUCGAUGAGGAGUUCGACCCGGUGGUCUCGGCCAUGUGCUCCAGGGUCGAACCAGUCACCGUCCCGGAGCUGUACUCACAGCUGCUGAGCUUUGAGA